AAGCGCACGCAGGCGGUCUGUCAAGUCGGAUGUGAAAUCCCCGGGCUCAACCUGGGAACUGCAUUCGAAACUGGCAGGCUUGAGUCUUGUAGAGGGGGGUAGAAUUCCAGGUGUAGCGGUGAAAUGCGUAGAGAUCUGGAGGAAUACCGGUGGCGAAGGCGGCCCCCUGGACAAAGACUGACGCUCAGGUGCGAAAGCGUGGGGAGCAAACAGGAUUAGAUACCCUGGUAGUCCACGCCGUAAACGAUGUCUACUUGGAGGUUGUGCCCUUGAGGCGUGGCUUCCGGAGCUAACGCGUUAAGUAGACCGCCUGGGGAGUACGGCCGCAAGGUUAAAACUCAAAUGAAUUGACGGGGGCCCGCACAAGCGGUGGAGCAUGUGGUUUAAUUCGAUGCAACGCGAAGAACCUUACCUGGUCUUGACAUCCACAGAAUUCUGCAGAGAUGCGGAAGUGCCUUCGGGAACUGUGAGACAGGUGCUGCAUGGCUGUCGUCAGCUCGUGUUGUGAAAUGUUGGGUUAAGUCCCGCAACGAGCGCAACCCUUAUCCUUUGUUGCCAGCGGUUAGG
rnacentral:rRNA from 1 species